rnacentral:lncRNA from 1 species
AAAAUUUCCGAAUGACGAAAAAAAUUUCCGAAUAUUUCAUGGCAUACGAAGCCACGAAGGUGUUUGCUAUCCGGAAUGCUAUAUGCAAUUUACAAACAAGAAUACACAUAGUUUACGCAAAGACAUAUUACAGAAGCAUGCAGUGCCAUAGGAAGCCCUUUUUUGUUCGGGGCUGGGAAGGAGGGCCGAAGGCCCGAGGAAAUUUUUAAAUUUGGAUUCUCUGAAAUGCCAUUUCCUGGACUCUUUGGGGAAGUUUUGACAAAAUUCUGAUGGUCAGAAAACAGAGUUUUAGUAUGAUAUUUGUGAAGCUGAAAAGUUUGCUUGGCCACGGUGGGAGUCGAACCCGCGACCUUUGGGAUACUGGUCAAGUCGGUUCGAGUUGGACGUCACUUUGUCAGCUUCUUGACAUGUAUUUCUUGCUUUUAUAUUUAUUUGGUUAAAUAUUUCAACUUGAAUGAGAAAUUUAUUUUAUUAAAGAAUUCUUCGGAUCGGAUCGGAUUGGAAUUCUUUUUCAAAACUCGGAUCGGGACGAAUUGGGAUUAGACAAUUUCGGAUCGGAUCGGAUUUUAAACAUCCGGCAAUUGUCGGAUUAUAAACGUCCAAUCCGAUCCGAUGCACACCUCUAGUCUAUUGUCAGUAUUUUAAAGGUAUAUUAUCUAAAUGAUAAAGGUGUGCAUGAUUUUGAAAAACGAAUGAUUAUCAGCAAAUUAUUGUAAGGGCUGCUGCCCCCAGUCCCCUCCCUCCCCCCUCCUGUUACGGCCCUGAGAAGCAAUAAACCGAAAAACAUUUACCGAUUUACGAUUUUUUACGUUAUCCAUGUAAAUGCCGUGAUUUCGUAAAUCAGUUUAUACCAAUGGUUUAUACUGACAAUACCAUUUUAUAAUAUUUUCUCUGUUUAAUUAAACAACUAAAAUUUUGUUAUGCUAUAAUUGCCGUAAUUUUCCGAAUGGCCGACCCGAUUUUCCGAAUAUGUUAAUUCUACAAAAGUUGGGGGGUUAACCACCCCCCCCCCCCUAAUACCCCCCUCGCUACGGCCCUGCAUGCAUGCAUUAAUUUACCUCGCCUUACUGUAUUUGCAAUCUUUAUUUCGACACGAAGUACUGCAACUUGACA